rnacentral:rRNA from 1 species
UACGUAGGUCGCAAGCGUUGUCCGGAUUUACUGGGCGUAAAGCGUGCGCAGGCGGUUCUAUAAGACAGAUGUGAAAUCCCCGGGCUCAACCUGGGAACUGCAUUUGUGACUGUAGAGCUGGAGUGCGGCAGAGGGGGAUGGAAUUCCGCGUGUAGCAGUGAAAUGCGUAGAUAUGCGGAGGAACACCGAUGGCGAAGGCAAUCCCCUGGGCCUGCACUGACGCUCAUGCACGAAAGCGUGGGGAGCAAACAGG